rnacentral:rRNA from 1 species
AGAGUUUGAUCAUGGCUCAGGACGAACGCUGGCGGCGUGCCUAAUACAUGCAAGUAGAACGCUGAAAUCUGGUGCUUGCACCGGAUGGAUGAGUUGCGAACGGGUGAGUAACGCGUAGGUAACCUACCUCAUAGCGGGGGAUAACUAUUGGAAACGAUAGCUAAUACCGCAUAACAGUCUUUAACUCAUGUUAGAGGCUUGAAAGGGGCAAUUGCUUCACUAUGAGAUGGACCUGCGUUGUAUUAGCUAGUUGGUGAGGUAACGGCUCACCAAGGCGACGAUACAUAGCCGACCUGAGAGGGUGAUCGGCCACACUGGGACUGAGACACGGCCCAGACUCCUACGGGAGGCAGCAGUAGGGAAUCUUCGGCAAUGGGGGCAACCCUGACCGAGCAACGCCGCGUGAGUGAAGAAGGUUUUCGGAUCGUAAAGCUCUGUUGUAAGAGAAGAACGUGUGUGAGAGUGGAAAGUUCACACAGUGACGGUAUCUUACCAGAAAGGGACGGCUAACUACGUGCCAGCAGCCGCGGUAAUACGUAGGUCCCGAGCGUUGUCCGGAUUUAUUGGGCGUAAAGCGAGCGCAGGCGGUUUGAUAAGUCUGAAGUUAAAGGCUGUGGCUCAACCAUAGUACGCUUUGGAAACUGUCAAACUUGAGUGCAGAAGGGGAGAGUGGAAUUCCAUGUGUAGCGGUGAAAUGCGUAGAUAUAUGGAGGAACACCGGUGGCGAAAGCGGCUCUCUGGUCUGUAACUGACGCUGAGGCUCGAAAGCGUGGGUAGCGAACAGGAUUAGAUACCCUGGUAGUCCACGCCGUAAACGAUGAGUGCUAGGUGUUAGGCCCUUUCCGGGGCUUAGUGCCGCAGCUAACGCAUUAAGCACUCCGCCUGGGGA